UUUUUUGAUUUUUUUUGAAUUUUUUAUGCCCGUUUCAAAAUGCGGUCAAAACGGCGGGCUUGACCGUUCCUAGCUAGUGGUUGAAUCUUGGAAUUUUUUUGGUGUUUCUAUGAUUAAAUAGAUACUUAUUUACCUAGAAAUGAUUUUUGAAAAAAAUAAAGAGCAAACUAUGAGGUAGGUGCACUUCAAAUUUGACCCGCUUCCAAGUGAAUCGGCGGGAAUGUGUCUUUUUCACCGGAGGUGGAUCAAAACUUUUUUCACCCAACCAUUUUGUCAAUUGUGCAUUAAAUAUGUCCUAGUAUUUUAGAAAAAUUAUUUGGUCCAAUUGUGCAACAAUUAUUUGGUAGGUCCUUCACAAAAAAACCUCACUUGGGGCACUCGAAAAAUGGAAAAUGGCUCUUUUGUGCAAUGAAAGUGAAAACUCCCCAAAUCAACAUUGUUUGGAAUUCCAAUAUGCACCCUUGUGCACAAUAUGAGAUCAUUUGAACAAACUAUUCCAUGAAUGUGGCCAUAAGAUUGAUCAUUUGGCUUGAAAGCCAUGAAUCUUCAUGCUUGAUAGCUCAUUUCUGAGAACACUUUUUUAAAAUAAUUUCCGUAUUACAAGUUUAUUAUUUUUCCUGGAAACCUGGUCACAUAUAAUGACACAAUGCGAAGGUUUUCCAUUUUUUUAUUUUUUUUGAAUUUUUUAUGCCCGUUUCAAAAUGCGGUCAAAACGGCGGGCUUGACCGUUCCUAGCUAGUGGUUGAAUCUUGGAAUUUUUUGGUGUUUCUCUGAUUAAAUAGGUACUUAUUUACCUAGAAAUGAUUUUUGGAAAAAAUAAAGAGCAAACUAUGAGGUAGCUACAGUUCAAAUUUGACCCGCUUCCAACUGAAUCGGCGGGAAUUUGUCUUUUUCACCAGAGGUGGAUCAAAACUUUUUUCACCCAACCAUUUGGUCAAUUGUGCAUUAAAUAUGGCCUAGUAUUUUAGAAAAAUGAUUUGGUCCAAUUGUGCAACAAUUAUUUGGUAGGUCCUUCACAGAAAAACCUCACUUGGGGCACUCGAAAAAUGGAAAAUGGCUCUUUUGUGCAAUGAAAGUGAAAACUCCCCAAAUAAACAUUGUUUGGAAUUCCAAUAUGCACCCUUGUGCACAAUAUGAGAUCAUUUGAACAAACUAUUCCAUGAAUGUGGCCAUAAGAUUGAUCAUUUGGCUUGAAAGCCAUGAUUCUUCACGCUUGAUAGCACAUUUCUGAGAACACUUUUUUAAAAUAAUUACCGUAUUACAAGUUUAUUAUUUUUCCUGGAAACUUGGUCACAUAUAAUGACACAAUGCGAAGGUUUUCCAUUUUUUUGAUUUUUUUGAAUUUUUUAUGCCCGUUUCAAAAUGCGGUCAAAACGUCGGGCUUGACCGUUCCUAGCUAGUGGUUGAAUCUUGGAAUUUUUUUGGUGUUUCUCUGAUUAAAUAGAUACUUAUUUACCUAGAAAUGAUUUUUGGAAAAAAUAAAGAGCAAACUAUGAGGCAGCUACAGUUCAAAUUUGACCCGUUUCCACCUGAAUCGAC
rnacentral:lncRNA from 1 species